rnacentral:rRNA from 1 species
UCCUACGGGGGGCAGCAGUGGGGAAUAUUGCACAAUGGGGGAAACCCUGAUGCAGCGAUGCCGCGUGGAGGAAGAAGGUUUUCGGAUUGUAAACUCCGUUUAUCAGGGACGAUAAUGACGGUACCUGAAGAAAAAGCUCCGGCUAACUACGUGCCAGCAGCCGCGGUAAUACGUAGGGAGCGAGCGUUAUCCGGAUUUAUUGGGUUUAAAGGGUGCGUAGGCGGAGUGUCAAGUCAGCGGUAAAAUUUCGGGGCUCAACCCCGUCGUGCCGUUGAAACUGACGCCCUUGAGUGAGUGAGAAGUAA